CUAUCUGCGAUAUGGAAGAUUCGAACCUGCCGCAGGUUCGGGUCUCACGUAGUGAGACAACGGAGCCGCUUGCGGCGACGGCCCGAAGGGCGAGCAAAGCGAGUCAUCCUGCACGACCCACCA
rnacentral:sRNA from 6 species